rnacentral:ncRNA from 2 species
GGUCGUUCCGAGGGGAGCCCGUGCCGGGCUGAGAUUGGGCUUCUCGCCCUGACCCUUGAACCUGAUCCGGUUCGUACCGGCGGAGGGACGGGAACGAGACGGCGC